rnacentral:lncRNA from 1 species
AGAAGAGUGCCUAGAAUUCUUCAUGUCAGGGUAAUAUCCUGCGAGUAAACUCUCUCUUUUUAAUCGCCAAUAAAUAAUAUAAAUGCAGUCUACAGUUAGGCAGUCACUUGGACCCGUGAACACAGACCUAACCAGAAUAUCCAAGCCAAACUCAAAAAUUUAUGGUCGAGUAUGGGUCCAAAGUUAAUGUAUAAAACUUUUUUGAACUGAGUAUAGGUCUAGCAAAUGUCCAUGUGAACCAGACCAGACUGGACCCAAUAAUACAAUUAUUUAGGGCAUGGAGCUAAUUCUUAAGAACCUGACUCAAUCUGGAACUGAUAGCUUACCAGAUAUAUAAUGUAUACUUUUAUAAAUUUUGCAUUUCUUAUACAUUAUACUAAUUGCACUUUGAAGCUAUGUCAUAGUGAAUUAUCUUAAGGACUCAAGGGAGUUUGGCUCAAUAAAUAAUGGUAUCCACUUGGUACCUGGACCUGAUACUUAUCCAAUACAAACUCGACAAGGGGCGAGAAGCAUAUGGAUCUUAACACCACUAUUUACAAUUACUGACAUGACUUUAAACAUAGGUAACCACUUAAAGUUAUGGAGGAUUGGAGAUUACUUAUUUGGGGCUUGGACAGAUGGGGUUCGGCAGUUGGAUGAGGGUAUGUUGCCUACAGUAUGGAGAAUAUUUAAUAUGACAUCCUCUACUUUAAUUUACCAUGCUUAUCAAUUCC